rnacentral:rRNA from 1 species
GAGGGGCUCGCGGCCUAUCAGCUAGUUGGUGAGGUAACGGCUCACCAAGGCUAUGACGGGUAGCUGGUCUGAGAGGACGACCAGCCACACGGGAACUGAGACACGGUCCCGACUCCUACGGGAGGCAGCAGUGGGGAAUUUUCCGCAAUGGGCGAAAGCCUGACGGAGUGACGCCGCGUGGGGGACGAAGGCCUUCGGGUUGUAAACCCCUGUCAGAGGGAAAGAGGGGUGUCGGCGUGAAAAGCGCCGGCAUCUGACGGUACCUUCAGAGGAAGCCCCGGCCAACUCUGUGCCAGCAGCCGCGGUAAGACAGAGGGGGCAAGCGUUGCUCGGAAUUACUGGGCGUAAAGGGCGCGUAGGCGGGAUGGCAAGUCGGUCGUGAAAUCCUUCGGCUCAACCGAAGAACGUCGGCCGAUACUGCCGUUCUUGAGGGAUGCAGAGGAGAUUGGAAUUCCCGGUGUAGCGGUGAAAUGUGUAGAGAUCGGGAGG